rnacentral:rRNA from 1 species
CAGUCGCCGCGGUAAUACAGAGGGUGCGAGCGUUAAUCGGAAUUACUGGGCGUAAAGCGCGCGUAGGUGGUUUGUUAAGUUGGAUGUGAAAUCCCCGGGCUCAACCUGGGAACUGCAUCCAAAACUGGCAAGCUAGAGUAUGGUAGAGGGUGGUGGAAUUUCCUGUGUAGCGGUGAAAUGCGUAGAUAUAGGAAGGAACACCAGUGGCGAAGGCGACCACCUGGACUGAUACUGACACUGAGGUGCGAAAGCGUGGGGAGCAAACAGGAUUAGAUACCCCAGUAGUCCCUGUCUCUUAUAC